GAUGAACGCUAGCUACAGGCUUAACACAUGCAAGUCGAGGGGAAACGGCAUUAAGUGCUUGCACUUUUUGGACGUCGACCGGCGCACGGGUGAGUAACGCGUAUCCAACCUUCCCAUGACUAAGGGAUAACCUGCCGAAAGGCAGACUAAUACCUUAUGGUCUUCACUGACGGCAUCAGAUGUGAAGUAAAGAUUUAUCGGUUAUGGAUGGGGAUGCGUCUGAUUAGCUUGUUGGCGGGGUAACGGCCCACCAAGGCAACGAUCAGUAGGGGUUCUGAGAGGAAGGUCCCCCACAUUGGAACUGAGACACGGUCCAAACUCCUACGGGAGGCAGCAGUGAGGAAUAUUGGUCAAUGGGCGAGAGCCUGAACCAGCCAAGUAGCGUGCAGGAAGACGGCCCUAUGGGUUGUAAACUGCUUUUGUAUGGGGAUAAAGUCAAUCACGUGUGAUUGUUUGCAGGUACCAUACGAAUAAGGACCGGCUAAUUCCGUGCCAGCAGCCGCGGUAAUACGGAAGGUCCGGGCGUUAUCCGGAUUUAUUGGGUUUAAAGGGAGCGUAGGCUGGAGAUUAAGUGUGUUGUGAAAUGUAGACGCUCAACGUCUGACUUGCAGCGCAUACUGGUUUCCUUGAGUACGCACAACGUUGGCGGAAUUCGUCGUGUAGCGGUGAAAUGCUUAGAUAUGACGAAGAACUCCGAUUGCGAAGGCAGCUGACGGGAGCGCAACUGACGCUGAAGCUCGAAGGUGCGGGUAUCGAACAGGAUUAGAUACCCUGGUAGUCCGCACAGUAAACGAUGGAUGCCCGCUGUUGGUACCUGGUAUCAGCGGCUAAGCGAAAGCAUUAAGCAUCC
rnacentral:rRNA from 1 species